rnacentral:rRNA from 1 species
ACGCUGGCGGCAGGCCUAACACAUGCAAGUCGAGCGGUAGAGAGAAGCUUGCUUCUCUUGAGAGCGGCGGACGGGUGAGUAAUGCCUAGGAAUCUGCCUGGUAGUGGGGGAUAACGUUCGGAAACGGACGCUAAUACCGCAUACGUCCUACGGGAGAAAGCAGGGGACCUUCGGGCCUUGCGCUAUCAGAUGAGCCUAGGUCGGAUUAGCUAGUUGGUGAGGUAAUGGCUCACCAAGGCGACGAUCCGUAACUGGUCUGAGAGGAUGAUCAGUCACACUGGAACUGAGACACGGUCCAGACUCCUACGGGAGGCAGCAGUGGGGAAUAUUGGACAAUGGGCGAAAGCCUGAUCCAGCCAAGCCGCGUGUGUGAAGAAGGUCUUCGGAUUGUAAAGCACUUUAAGUUGGGAGGAAGGGCAUUAACCUAAUACGUUAGUGUUUUGACGUUACCGACAGAAUAAGCACCGGCUAACUCUGUGCCAGCAGCCGCGGUAAUACAGAGGGUGCAAGCGUUAAUCGGAAUUACUGGGCGUAAAGCGCGCGUAGGUGGUUUGUUAAGUUGGAUGUGAAAUCCCCGGGCUCAACCUGGGAAUUGCAUUGGAGACUGCAAGGCUAGAAUCUGGCAGAGGGGGGUAGAAUUCCACGCGUAGCAGUGAAAUGCGUAGAUAUGUGGAGGAACACCGAUGGCGAAGGCAGCCCCCUGGGUCAAGAUUGACGCUCAUGCACGAAAGCGUGGGGAGCAAAC